CGAGGGGAUUCACGUUGUCAUCGACGACUAGAAUCAAGGUGCUCGAGGCUGGAACCAAGAGAAAAAAUAGAAAUUUUCGUCCACGGUUCACUUCCUUGUUCUUCAGUUGUGUUUUUAAUGCAUUGAGAGGGAUUUCUAUUUUGCAGCGCUAUAAA